rnacentral:rRNA from 1 species
CCUACGGGUGGCUGCAGUGGGGAAUAUUGCACAAUGGGGGAAACCCUGAUGCAGCAACGCCGCGUGAAGGAAGACGGUUUUCGGAUUGUAAACCUCUAUUCUUAGUGAAGAAAAAUGACGGUAGCUAAGGAGCAAGCCACGGCUAACUACGUGCCAGCAGCCGCGGUAAUACGGAGGUGGCAAGCGUUGGCCGGAAUUACUGGGUGUAAAGGGAGCGCAGGCGGGAAGCCAAGUCAGCUGUGAAAACUGCGGGCUUAACUUGUAGACUGCAGUUGAAAUUGGUAGUCUUGAGUGAAGUAGAGGUAGGCGGAAUUCCGGGUGUAGCGGUGAAAUGCGUAGAUAUUCGGAGGAACACCGGUGGCGAAGGCGGCCAACUGGACUUUAACUGACGCUGAGGCUCGAAAGUGUGGGGAGCAAACAGGAUUAGAUACCCGAGUAGUC